UGGGGAAUUUUGCACAAUGGAGGGAACUCUGAUGCAGCGACGCCGCGUGAGUGAUGAAGGAAUUCGUUUCGUAAAACUCUGUUCUAUGGGAAGAAAAGGACUGUACCAUAGGAGAAAGCUCCGGCUAAAUACGUGCCAGCAGCCGCGGUAAUACGUAUGGAGCGAGCGUUGUCCGGAAUUAUUGGGCGUAAAGGGUGCGCAGGCGGCUUUACAAGUUGGAUGUGAAAUAUUGUGGCUCAACCACAAACGUGCAUCCAAAACUGCAAAGCUUGAGUUAAGGAGAGGUAAGUGGAAUUCCUGGUGUAGCGGUGGAAUGCGUAGAUAUCAGGAGGAAUACCGGUGGCGAAGGCGACUUACUGGACUUAAACUGACGCUCAGGCACGAAAGCGUGGGGAGCAAACAGG
rnacentral:rRNA from 1 species